rnacentral:rRNA from 1 species
GUGAGGAAUAUUGCGCAAUGGAGGCAACUCUGACGCAGCCAUGCCGCGUGCAGGAAGAAGGCGCUACGCGUUGUAAACUGCUUUUAACCGGGAAGAAACCCCAGGACGUGUCCUGGGUUGACGGUACCGGAGGAAUAAGCACCGGCUAACUUCGUGCCAGCAGCCGCGGUAAUACGAAGGGUGCAAGCGUUAUCCGGAUUCAUGGGGAUUAAAGGGUGCGUAGGCGGAGCGUUAAGUCAGUGGUGAAAUCCUGCAGCUUAACUGUAGACUUGCCAUUGAUACUGGCGCUCUUGAGUGCGCUUGAAGUGGGCGGAAUGUGCCGUGUAGCGGUGAAAUGCUUAGAUAUGGCACAGAACACCAAUUGCGAAGGCAGCUCACUAAGGCGAUACUGACGCUGAGGCACGAAAGCGUGGGGAUCGAACAGGAUUAGAUACCCCUGUAGUCC